rnacentral:rRNA from 1 species
CGCAAUGGGCGAAAGCCUGACGGAGCGACGCCGGGAGACUGAAGAAGUCCUUCGGGACGUAAAGGUCUUUUGUGAUGGAAAAAAUUCGUUGAUAGUACCUCAAGAAUAAGAGGCUCCAAACUCUGUGCCAGCAGGAGCGGUAAUACAGAGGCCUCAAGCGUUAUCCGGAAUCACUGGGCGUAAAGGGUGUGUAGGUGGUCGUGUUAGUCGUUUGUUAAAUCUCCCGGCCUAACCGGGAACAUGCAAACGAAACGGCACAACUAGAGGGUGUGAGGGGUCUGUGGAACUCAUGGAGUAGGGGUAAAAUCCGUUGAUAUCAUGGGGAACACCAAAAGCGAAGGCAGCAGACUGGCGCAUUCCUGACACUGAAACACGAAAGCGU